rnacentral:rRNA from 1 species
GACGAACGCUGGCGGCGUGCUUAACACAUGCAAGUCGAACGGAAAGGCCCUGCUUUUGUUGGUUUCUCGUGUGGCGAACGGGUGAGUAACACGUGAGUAUCCCGCCCCUGACUUUGGGAUAACUUCAGGAAACUGCGGCUCAUACCGGAUAGGAGCUCUUGCUGCAUGGGGGUGGUUGGAAAGUUUCGGCGGUUGGGGCUGGACUCGCAGCAUAUGAGCUUGAUAGGGGGGUAGUGGCGUACCAAGGGUUUGACGGGUAGCCGGCCUGGGAGGGUUGCCGGGGACCAUGGGCCUGAGAUACGGCCCAGACUCCUACGUGAGGCAGCAGUGGAGAACAUUGCGCAGUGGGGGGAAGCCUGAUGCAGCAGCGCCGGGUGCGGGAUGCCGGGCUUCGGGUUGUAAACCGAUUUCGACUGUGACGAGGAGUGAGUGACGGUAAUGGGUCAAGAAGCACCGGCUAACUACGUG